GACAGAGGUGCCGAGCGUUAGGCGGAAUCACUGGGCUUAAAGCGUGUGUAGGCGGGUCGUUAAGUGUCUUGUGAAAUCCCACCGCUCAACGGUGGAACCGCUGGGCAUACUGGCGAUCUUGAGCAGUCCAGGGGCGAGCGGAACAAGCGGUGGAGCGGUGAAAUGCGUAGAUAUCCGGAGGAAGACCGGUGGCGAAGGCGGUCUGCUGGGCAGUUUCUGACACUGAUGCGCGACAGCGUGGGGAGCAAACAGG
rnacentral:rRNA from 1 species